rnacentral:lncRNA from 1 species
CUCCAUUUUCAAGAGGAGACACAUUCUCAUUUAUACAUGGCAUCAGAGUGACCACAUUAUUGGAUAGAUUCAAACUUUGAAACACCAGGCAGUGUCACCUAUUAGUUGUUCGGAAUUGCAGAGGUACUGCUUACUCAUAUGACAAAAAGAGUUCCCAGUACUGAUGUUAGUCUAAACCCUAUACCAGGAAUACAAGUUGAAAUGUUCCAUUUAGACUAUCAGUCUUGGCCAUUAAAUUUUGUAAGUGUGCUAGGCAAAAUGGAGAAUCCUCUUCCUAGUGCUGGAAUCUCCUAAACUGUGAAUUUCUCUAUAACUGUUCUUUCAAAAGUAACUUGGAAAUAAUGCUGAACUUUCAAAUCAUCAGAAGAACCCAAGUCCUUACCCAUAAUUUCACCUUCAAAACAAGUUUGAACUUCAAAUACGUAAGUUUCAAAAUUGAAAUUAGCUCAAAAAUUCUCCAGAUUAAAAAUGUGACACUCAUACACACACGCGCGUGCACACACACACACACCCUCCCAACCUAACUUUGGGGAGGUUCAGAAGCGAGGGAUUGGAAAACUGCUUUCAUUCCCCUUUAACUCCUGAAAAUAAUUAAUCAUGCAAGUCUGUACAUCAAAAUGGUUGCUAAAUUAAUCCCCUUAUUCUAAGUCUUGCCUCUCUGAGGAUUUCAUCAUAGGAUGACAGAAUAUUUGUUUUAACAAGAGAAAAGUGAGAAAUAACUUAAAAUGGGGGAGAAAAGCUCCCUAAUUUGGAAAAAGAAUGUCAGGUAUAAGUUGGUAAUGAUCAGCAGUCAGCUGUAGAGCUUGACAGACACUUAGCUGAGCCAAUCCUCAGUCCUUCCAUUGGCCCUUGUGACUGUAUCCUAACCCAUUUUCCCCCAUAGCAUUUCUUUUCCCCACGAUCGUCCCAUAGAAUUCACCUAUAGAUCUGAAUUCUCUCUCGCCAUGCUAAGAUUAUCUUUCUUACUACCAAUUCUUUCUAGGCUUCAUGAUUUCUUUCCUAUCGUCUUCUGAUUCAACUUUGGGACAACCCAGCACUCUGGAAUCUUUGCUGCAACUUCUCCAAUGGACAGAUGUUCCUUUCCAUCCUCUUAACAAGCUGUCCACCCUAGAAAAUCGGAACAAGUGGUUGCUGGCAAGCAAAGCAUAUGAUGGUGUCCUGGUUGUGUUCAGAUGGCUCAGAAGAUGUAUUUGGUUCAAGAUUGGAUGGGGAGUGGCAGACCUCCACUUUGGCCAGUGAGGUGAGUGGCUGUGGCAGACUGAUUGAUGGGUCCAAACCCUUCUGAUCAGACUUAUCCUUGAGGUGGUGGAAGUCUUGAAUAGGAAAUCAAGGAAUCAAGAUCUCAGAGGCUAAGCUCUGCGCCUUACUUACAGGGAUCUUAACCUGUUGUCCUGACAUUUCCAAACAAGGAGCAUUUACUAAACAAGAAUGGCAUUUCCUCAGGCAGACUAUGAAACAAAGUGAGUCAAAAGGACGCCGAAUGUUAGCCGCCAUUGAGGUCCCAUGCACUCUAGUGAGGAUACUGCACAAACUGUGGAGAGAUGAGCUGUUACUCAGCUGCAGACCCCACCUUUCACUGCUUCUACUCACUCUUCUUUCCCCUUGAAUCAGAUGCCCCAAGAGAAACACCCCUUCUUUAAUGGUACAGAUAUCAAGAACUAGCCCAUGGCUUGGGGCAAACCUCCUGCCCCAACCCCUUCUUUCUGGGCCCUGUCCUCACCUCUGUUAAAUGAUAGCUAAACCUCAGCAUGUAGGCAUGCCUGUUUGUGCAUCUAUCAGCCUGUGUGUCUGACUUUUGUGCUUUUUAACCUGUUGAAGCCUGGGGAAAUACAACCCCCAGUGUGCACCAGCAGGACCACCCAUUUGAGUCCUAGUUUGGGAUUGUUUUGAAUUGGACCCAUUCUGUGAUAAAGGAGGGACAAUGGCCAGGAACUCUCCUUAGCACGGAAUUAAUACUUUUCAAAACCAAUCCCAAUAAAGGAAAUAUUGGACAUCA